AUGGCAAAUUUCCUUCUUAUUUGCCAUGGCAAAAUUUACUUCACAUCCAUGCCAACUUUUACAUUCAUCAUUCGUGGGAAUUCCUGCUUUCCAUGUGGGGCCAUGGCAAUUUUUUUUAUGAAACAUGGUAAUACUACUAAAAUACACAUGAUACACUUCUUUCUUUGCAUUCUACAUAUUUCUUCACGUCAUCACAACUAUAUUUUUUCAACAUGUCAAAGUUAUUGUCUGAAUCAUAGCAAAUUUUAUGAUUUCGACCAUGGCAAAUUUAACUUUGUACACAACAAGCAAACUUUUUAUCUCAUAUAUACCGCCAUAAUAAAUUUUGUUUCUUUUGUACAUCAUUAUUGA
rnacentral:rRNA from 1 species